UGCCUCAGUAACGGCGAGUGAAGCGGCAACAGCUCAAAUUUGAAAUCUGGCCUCACGGUCCGAGUUGUAAUUUGUAGAGGAUGUUUCGAGCAUGGUCCGGUCUAAGUUCCUUGGAACAGGACGUCAUAGAGGGUGAGAAUCCCGUAUGUGACUGGAUACCUAAGCUCAUGUGAAACUCCUUCGACGAGUCGAGUUGUUUGGGAAUGCAGCUCAAAAUGGGUGGUAAAUUUCAUCUAAAGCUAAAUACUGGCCAGAGACCGAUAGCGCACAAGUAGAGUGAUCGAAAGAUGAAAAGCACUUUGGAAAGAGAGUUAAACAGUACGUGAAAUUGUUGAAAGGGAAGCGCUUGCAACCAGACUUGCAUGCAGUCGAUCAUCCGAUGUUCUCACCGGUGCACUCGAUUGUAUUCAGGCCAGCAUCGGUUUUGGUGGUUGGAUAAAGGCCUUGGGAAUGUAGCUUUCUUCGGGGAGUGUUAUAGCCCUUGGUGCAAUGCAGCCUACCGGGACCGAGGACCGCGCUUCGGCUAGGAUGCUGGCGUAAUG
rnacentral:rRNA from 1 species